rnacentral:tRNA from 1 species
GCCCCUGGUACAAAAUGGUUAAUGCAUUUGGCUACUAACCAAAAUGUUGGAGGUUCGAGUCCACUCAGAGGUG